rnacentral:rRNA from 1 species
AAGGCUCACCAAGGCGACGAUCCGUAGCUGGUCUGAGAGGAUGAUCAGCCACAUCGGGACUGAGACACGGCCCGAACUCCUACGGGAGGCAGCAGUGGGGAAUAUUGGACAAUGGGGGGAACCCUGAUCCAGCCAUGCCGCGUGUGUGAAGAAGGCCCUCGGGUUGUAAAGCACUUUCAGUGAGGAAGAACGCCUGGUGGUUAAUACCCAUCAGGAAAGACAUCACUCACAGAAGAAGCACCGGCUAACUCCGUGCCAGCAGCCGCGGUAAUACGGAGGGUGCGAGCGUUAAUCGGAAUUACUGGGCGUAAAGCGCGCGUAGGUGGCUUGAUAAGCCGGUUGUGAAAGCCCCGGGCUCAACCUGGGAACGGCAUCCGGAACUGUCAAGCUAGAGUGCAGGAGAGGAAGGUAGAAUUCCCGGUGUAGCGGUGAAAUGCGUAGAGGUCGGGAGGAAUACCAGUGGCGAAGGCGGCCUUCUGGACUGACACUGACACUGAGGUGCGAAAGCGUGGGUAGCAAACAGGAUUAGAUACCCUGGUAGUCCACGCCGUAAACGAUGUCGACCAGCCGUUGGGUGCCUAGCGCACUUUGUGGCGAAGUUAACGCGAUAAGUCGACCGCCUGGGGAGUACGGCNCGCAAGGUUAAAACUCAAAUGAAUUGACGGGGGCCCGUACAAGCGGUGGAGCAUGUGGUUUAAUUCGAUGCAACGCGAAGAACCUUACCUACUCUUGACAUCCUGCGAACUUGUGAGAGAUCACUUGGUGCCUUCGGGAACGCAGAGACAGGUGCUGCAUGGCUGUCGUCAGCUCGUGUUGUGAAAUGUUGGGUUAAGUCCCGUAACGAGCGCAACCCUUGUCCUUAUUUGCCAGCGCGUAAUGGCGGGAACUCUAAGGAGACUGCCGGUGACAAACCGGAGGAAGGUGGGGACGACGUCAAGCCAUCAUGGCCCUUACGAGUAGGGCUACACACGCGCUACAAUGGUCGGUACAAAGGGUUGCCAACUCGCGAGAGUGAGCCAAUCCCGAAAAGCCGAUCUCAGUCCGGAUCGGAGUCUGCAACUCGACUCCGUGAAGUCGGAAUCGCUAGUAAUCGUGGAUCAGAAUGCCACGGUGAAUACGUUCCCGGGCCUUGUACACACCGCCCGUCACACCAUGGGAGUGGACUGCACCAGAAGUGGUUAGCCUAACGCAAGAGGGCGAUCACCACGGUGUGGUUCAUGA